rnacentral:rRNA from 1 species
UACGAAGGGGGCUAGCGUUGUUCGGAAUCACUGGGCGUAAAGGGCGCGUAGGCGGCCGAUCAAGUCGGGGGUGAAAGCCUGUGGCUCAACCACAGAAUUGCCUUCGAUACUGUUUGGCUUGAGACCGGAAGAGGUUAGUGGAACUGUGAGUGUAGAGGUGAAAUUCGUAGAUAUUCGCAAGAACACCAGUGGCGAAGGCGGCUGACUGGUCCGGUUCUGACGCUGAGGCGCGAAAGCGUGGGGAGCAAACAGG